rnacentral:rRNA from 1 species
AGAGUUCCAUUCUGGCUCAGGACGAACGCUGGCGGCGCGCCUAACACAUGCAAGUCGAACGAGAGAGAGGAAGCUUGCUUCCUCAAUCGAGUGGCGAACGGGUGAGUAACGCGUGAGGAACCUGCCUCAAAGAGGGGGACAACAGUUGGAAACGACUGCUAAUACCGCAUAAGCCCACAGGUCGGCAUCGACCAGAGGGAAAAGGAGCAAUCCGCUUUGAGAUGGCCUCGCGUCCGAUUAGCUAGUUGGUGAGGUAAUGGCCCACCAAGGCAACGAUCGGUAGCCGGACUGAGAGGUUGAACGGCCACAUUGGGACUGAGACACGGCCCAGACUCCUACGGGAGGCAGCAGUGGGGAAUAUUGCACAAUGGGGGAAACCCUGAUGCAGCGACGCCGCGUGGAGGAAGAAGGUCUUCGGAUUGUAAACUCCUGUUGUUGAGGAAGAUAAUGACGGUACUCAACAAGGAAGUGACGGCUAACUACGUGCCAGCAGCCGCGGUAAAACGUAGGUCACAAGCGUUGUCCGGAAUUUACGGGUUUAAAGGGAGCGCAGGCGGGAAGACAAGUUGGAAGUGAAAAUCUAUGGGCUCAACCCAUAAACUGCUUUCAAAACUGUUUUUCUUGAGUAGUGCAGAGGUAGGCGGAAUUCCCGGUGUAGCGGUGGAAUGCGUAGAUAUCGGGAGGAACACCAGUGGCGAAGGCGGCCUACUGGGCACCAACUGACGCUGAGGCUCGAAAGUGUGGGUAGCAAACAGGAUUAGAUACCCUGGUAGUCC